rnacentral:rRNA from 1 species
UGGGGAAUCUUGGACAAUGGGGGCAACCCUGAUCCAGCGACGCCGCGUGGGUGAUGAAGGCCUUAGGGUUGUAAAGCUCUUUUACCCGGGAUGAUAAUGACAGUACCGGGAGAAUAAGCUCCGGCUAACUCCGUGCCAGCAGCCGCGGUAAUACGUAGGGGGCGAGCGUUGUCCGGAAUUAUUGGGCGUAAAGAGCGUGUAGGCGGCCUGGUAAGUCUGCCGUGAAAACCUGGGGCUCAACCCUGGGCGUGCGGUGGAUACUGCCAGGCUAGAGGAUGGUAGAGGCGAGUGGAAUUCCCGGUGUAGCGGUGAAAUGCGCAGAUAUCGGGAGGAACACCAGUAGCGAAGGCGGCUCGCUGGGCCAUUCCUGACGCUGAGACGCGAAAGCGUGGGGAGCAAACAGGAUUAGAUACCCCCGUAGUCC